CAUCAAGAAGCUAAACCAGCAUUAACCUUUUAAGUUAAAGACUGAGAGCACUACCCUCUCCUUGAUGA
rnacentral:tRNA from 4 species